CACUUGUGAAUAGCCUCACUACCACUUGAGCUAACCCAAGGGUUAGUGGGUAUUGCAAAGGUAUUAAGCACAAUCCAAACCAAAUUGAAUGACAAUUUCAAUUGCAGCUGGAAGCCUCAAAGGGGCUUUUGAAUCAAAGACAGAUUUCUAAGGAAAUUGCAGCCAAAGAUAGAAUCGAGGAAACAAAGAAGAACAAAUAUUUUUCUCCUUUCAGAAUUUUCUCAAAUCUUGCAAUGGACGUAGACGAAGAUCAGAAAGCAGAAAAUACAAGUUAUGGCAGAUUCCAUAAAACAGGUCGACUGGUUGAGGCUACACCAGAAGUCAAGACUGAAGAUAAAGUAGAGAUUAAGAAAUGUAUCAGAAGAUAAGCGAUGUUGGGAUUCAACAAACAAUUCACAUAGAUUUCUUUGUGGGUCAUUCGAGUUAGCAUCUUCCAACAGAUUUUAAUCAUUCUUACCAUUCUUUUCCGAGGUUUAUCAUGCGAAGAUGCUGUCUAAGAUAUCUAAAAGUUUCUCUUGGUGCAGAUGUUAGUUAUUCAAUCUUGUUUAUUAUAAAACUUGAGAUCGAGUUUUCACAAUUCUAUAUGUUUCUGGACUUGUAUUAGGAAUGAGAUUUUGUUGUAAAUAUAUCAUUGUAUUUGAUUAGGUUAGUUAUUAUUAUGGUCUUAUUAAUGUGUAUUUUAGCAAUAUUUAUAAGGGUUUGUCAGUACCCGGACUUGUCAGUUAGGAGUAUUUUAAAAGUUGUAAGCACAUGGUUAGUACUUACCUCAUUGUGCAUUUAGCAUUUUGGUUCAUGUUAUUAUUUCUACAAAUAGCGUGUAAAUUGUGAUUUCUUAACCUGAAUAUUAUGAAUAGAAAUGGCUUAG
rnacentral:lncRNA from 1 species